rnacentral:rRNA from 1 species
GAUGAACGCUGGCGGCGUGCCUAAUACAUGCAAGUCGAGCGAACAGACGAGGAGCUUGCUCCUCUGACGUUAGCGGCGGACGGGUGAGUAACACGUGGAUAACCUACCUAUAAGACUGGGAUAACUUCGGGAAACCGGAGCUAAUACCGGAUAAUAUAUUGAACCGCAUGGUUCAAUAGUGAAAGACGGUUUUGCUGUCACUUAUAGAUGGAUCCGCGCCGCAUUAGCUAGUUGGUAAGGUAACGGCUUACCAAGGCAACGAUGCGUAGCCGACGUGAGAGGGUGAUCGGCCACACUGGAACUGAGCCACGGUCCAGACUCCUACGGGAGGCAGCAGUAGGGAAUCUUCCGCAAUGGGCGAAAGCCUGACGGAGCAACGCCGCGUGAGUGAUGAAGGUCUUCGGAUCGUAAAACUCUGUUAUUAGGGAAGAACAAAUGUGUAAGUAACUAUGCACGUCUUGACGGUACCUAAUCAGAAAGCCACGGCUAACUACGUG